GCCUCCCACAGUAUCGGGAUUACAGGUGUGAGCCACUAUGCCUGGUCUUAUUGGCCUCAUGGCCAGGUAAUUGACCUGAAACAGAUAACUUACUGCCUAGAUGCAAAGCAGAAAAAUGCAUGCAGUGUUGGUGGCAAUGGUAGAGAUCUGUGAAGGAUUUGGCUAUUUCAGACAUAUGGCAUAAUCUGUGGGGAAAGAGAGAUGAUUGUCUGUAUUCUGAGACCUCAAAGAUGUAAGCCAUCGGACCACUCUUGUUUUCCAAACAUAAGACACAUUGGCCUUAAGGAAGCAGCCCCAGUGACGUGAUGUCAUCUUGCCUUAAUCAGUGUACAAUGUAGAAAGAACUUAAGAUGGGCAUUCCAGUCCCAUGAUGCCAGCACUGAUGGCACACAGAGCCCUGGACGUUAAUUUAGCCUCUAGUAUUUCAGUUUCUCUCAGACAAAUGGAAAUAAUGCCUUUGCUACUUACAUUAGAGAAUUUUGGGGAAGAUUAAGAUAAUGGGUAUAGGAAUACACGAACCAAAAUAAUUUGAAAGUGUUAGUCAAUUUUUUGCUUUCUUCCUCUCACUAGUGGUGGCUUUCUUGUUCUUCCUUCUUGCCCCCUUUCUCCCCUCUCUCCCUUCUCCCUCCUGCUUGCUUUGUUGGGCCCCUGAGCCUUUGGGAAGGAGAAGUUGGUGAAUGCUGUGAUAAAAAUAAAUGAGUUCCCAGUGGGUUGGCCUUACUUUUUCCACUCUCAUAAUGGACAGAAGGGAAGAUAUCCCAGAGAUCAUCUAGUCAGUUGUUAUUUAGUUGAAGAUACUGUUUCUAAUCCUAAAUAAAUCUUACCUAGAAUCUGGUAUACAUAAAAUUUUUAAACAUAAGUUCUCUAUUUUAAAUGGUACUACAAGGAUGGAAAGUGAGUUUACAACAUUUCUGUGUAGGACUUCCCCCAAACCACCAAAUUUUACAGAAAACAGUGCAAAACAAAAGUUUCUUCUCCAGUCUUCUAAUUUUUAUAGGAGAACCUAGAGGACCUGAGGGGUAAAAUACCUUGAAGCUAAAGAAAGAAUGCCUUGUGAGCAGGCCCAUUUGAUGACCAUGGAAAUUCAUUACCUGACGCCCGGGUAAAGCGAAGAGAAGGGUUGGAACACAUUAUGACGUACGAAAUACCAUAAGGUUGUGAAACCUUCGUUCACGGUUUGCUUUGCCUAAAGCAAGUCGUCCUCUCCCUGGGCCUUGGUUCUUCAUGUGCAGAAUGAAAGGGUUGAUGAAAUGAGCUCCAAGAUCCUAUAAUUCAGGAGUUCCAGCAUUCUUCCUGAUGAAGAAGGGGCUCCAUAGAAGCAAAAUACAGUAUCGAAAAAGAUUCUUCAGAUUCCUACAGCAGGUGUAUUAUUGAUUCAAAACUGUUAACUACUGUUCCACUGGGAAGAUGAUCAUGACUGUCUUACUCGUAUGGGCACAUUCAGAUCCCACAUCGAAAGAGAAGUACUUAUACAAGUUCCUGGCCUCAAAAACUGAAAUGGGAAGAGGAAAGAUUCUUAUAAAAGAAAAAAAAAAGACAAGUAAGUACAAUUCAUUGGUUCUUCUCAGAUCAAACUGCUGCUCUUAUGCACUUGAGUUGAGCUUCUAUCCCCUGUUCCCUGCGGGAGGUCUCUGGGAGGCAGCCGAGAACACGGACACUGGUGAUUGGGGAGUCCCUCAAUGAUGUUGUAAACAAAAAUGAAAGAGGCUGGUUUGACUUUGAUUUUUUCCUUGAAUCAGUUACUUUUUAAAAGCCAAUUACUUCUAGUGAAUAUUUGUCUUUCCUGUUCAGCAAAUUAUUUAUUUAAAUAGUUCUUAAGAAACAGCUCUUCGGAAUUCUGUUUAAAAGGAAUGCUUUGAACAUCUAAGGUACAACAUUCCUUUAUGAGUCAUAUGUUGCAAUCCCUAAUCAGAUCUCUUUACACAGAGUCCUGUAGGCUUAGGCAGUUCUCCUAAGAAAUGAUGAACUGCUCUAUUGGCAGCCGCUGCAGGGUGAGAAGCUCGGUGUGCCACUUAACUGGCUUAAACACACACACACACACACACACACACACACACACACACACACACUUGGGCAAAGCCUUUAGUUAAUAUUAUUGCUCAAGUAAAAAUUUUAUUACACUCUGCAGAGUUCACAAAGAAGAAGCAUUAGACUGGCAAGCAGAGCUGGUUGGAUUUACCUUUGACGUAGUGAGCUCCUUGAAGCUACAACAAUGCCAUAUACAUCCUAUCACAGUGUCUGUAGAAGGGACACAGUAGGUGCCUGCAAAAUUAAUGAUUACAUGGAUUGAGUCCAGCCAUGCAUUUGAUAUUUCGAUCUUGUCUAUGGCCCUCUUGCCAGCCAAACCCUUUUUCAUCCUGUUCUAGAACAUCUCCACUGACAGGGAACUCAACUCUGGAUAUAGUAACCAGGGCGGAGGUGACUCAAGACGAAACUGCUAGGUUUUCAUCUUCCCAUUCUUCCUUUUGCCUCCAGGGUAUUCAGUUGCUAAAGGGGAAAGGUGUGAACAACUGAAUACGCAAUUUUCCAUGGUGUAUUCAGUGGUUAGCACCUUUCCCCAUCUUCUUAAACCAAUGCUAUCUAAAAACUUUCUUCUUAACACAUCCCUUGCCCUAUCAAAGCCCACUCCCAAGAAACGUUUUGACAAAUAUUUCAUUCUGAGGUAUAAGCAGACAAUGGUGGCUCAGAAGACUCCUUCUUGGCGACAUUCGUAUUUUUAUCAGAGCCCAAAUCUUUGAGUAAAAAACCUCAUGAUUCACUAUAAGAGAAAUUUCAGGCUCCCAUCAGUGGCUGGAAGGACAUUCUUCUAUCUCCCCUUGCCAGCUGCAAAGCCUUCUGGGAGCCUCAUAUUAUCUCCCGUGGGCAGCUGUCUUGUGUCCCUGGGCAGAAUCUCUCUUCAAGAAAGCAUCAGCAAGCAUCACAGGAGGCUGAAGCACGAGAAUCACUUAUCCGUAUAAGAAAUAGUGUCACGAUGAUUUGUUAUGUCUUCAAGGCUAGCAAGCUCUCCCUUAUUCCUUCUCCGAUAUCUUGCAUUAUCCUAUUUUACUAAUGAGAAAAUAUUCUCUAAUUUAAGCACAAUGGUAUAUUUUAUUUUCCUAAUGAACUGCUUUCUGUGAUUUUGGACUAUCCCAUUGCUGAAAUGUUGUAUCUGAUUUUUGAGGCUCUAAUGAUCCUAAUAAAUUAUAAACAUUUUGCAUUAAAUGAACUCUUUUGUGGACACUCUAAUAAGUCCUGAAGAAAGUCAGGCUGUCUCCUGAGUUUGAGGGGACAGCCAGAACUUUUAAUGGAAAGUGGUCCUUAUUAGAACCAACCCCAGACCCAGGGCUGGCAAGCAGCAGAAGCUCUGAGCAUAUGCCCAGGUAAUGAAGAUUUGUAAACUAGGUCAUGAUGGUGCCCCACACAUCAUAAGACCCAUCGCAGCCUGGGAAAAUAUUAUGUUGAUUUUUGUCCCCUCUGAAAGAUCUGUAGAAAAUGCUAACAGAGCAAGAAAAGGUUAGAAUUCAAGGAAGAACAUGCCUAUCGCUCUUGUCGCCAGAUUGGUCCUGGUAGGCAUGACUUUUCCUUUGGCACCCGGUGGAGAUCUUUUUCAAUGGAGCUCUUGCAUGAGACACGGAGAUGGUCCUGCUUUUGUUUCCAUGGAAAAAAAUGCUGAACAAUGUAUUUUAUGUACUGCUAGUUGCUCCCAAUCAUCGAUACAAAUACCCAUACAGCAAAGUAGCAGUGGAAACAGUAAAAUGAAUGAGUGAGUUUGACUGCUUGGAUAUAAAGAACAGAGAUUGUUUCAAAGGAGAAAAGACAGCCUGCAAAUGAUCAGGGCAUGUAUGUAGAUGAGGGUAACAGCAAGGACGCAGGCGCAAAUAUGAAUAGAGGACGUGGGCGAUCCAUCUGAGCAGAGGACACAGAGCCUCAGAGCCCCUUCUUACUUAAAUAUUUCAAGGGGAGGGAGGCGAGCAACAUAUUUCACUCCCUUGCAUAGUGAGUGUCUGGGAUCAUUAGGACCCAAAGUAAAAAAAAAAGAAAAUAAUUUGACAAAAUGUCCAGAGGCACAACAUGAUAUAAAGCACGACAUUUUUUCACAUAUGUGUAAGCUUGUUUCAAAAUGGGCAUUGCUUCUGAAAAGGAGUGCUUUAAAAAAUGUAGAUACUGAGUCAACUUUUAGCUCUCCGAGCUAUUGAAACUGCAAGGGAUAAGCAAGGAAAGCACUUUUUUAAAAAAAGAAAGAUAAUCAAAAGCAUUUAUGUGUGAUGUUGAGAGCUAUAUGUGAGUUUGUGUGUGUGUACACAGAUUUAGCAUUCUGUGCAUUUCUUGAGUUAACAUUAAAACAGAUUUGCCUUUUAUGAAUACACUUCAGGAGAACUGGAGAGGUGCAAUAUUAGACCUGAUUUCUAGUUUCCAUACCAUUGCUACCUGGCUGUGUAAUCCUGAGACGACUGAUAACAUCUCUCGGUGUCACUGAUGAAAUAAAGGAAUUGGUCUUGAUAUCUUCUUGAGGUAUGCUCAAGCCAUAAAAGGUAGUGAUUUUGUUAGAGUGUUCAAGAAUAUGCCAAGUCGGUCCUAUGACAAUGGAGCUACAUAUAUGUAUUGGUGCUCAGGGGGGACAGAUGGAAGAGAUAAGAAGAGGAGAUAAAAAUAACCCAGUAAGGAAAAGAAAUGUUUGAAUGUUUGGGGGCAGAAAAAGUGGAUCAUUGAACACAGAAGCAAAUACUGCUGGUAGGUUUAAUGAUCUCUGCUAUAGCUAUUGAUUCAUUUCAAGCAUCUCUAUCAAAGGGCUGGGACAUGAUAUGAGUAUAAGCAGGGAUUCUAUGUCUGCCCUCAGAAGCCCAGUGACUCAUUGUCUCCUGUGCAGUGGAGGUGGCUGUGGGCACUGCAGGCUUAGUCCCAGCUUUGGCUGAUCCCACCCUGGUUGCCUGAAUCACAGUGUGAGACCAACUCCCUUGCCCUGCUGGGCUAAUCAGUACCUCUCAAUCGUGGGUCCCAGUAGAGCCCCAUAAGCUGGUGUGGCCCAAGUGAUGGGCAAGGAGGGAAGGAGGUGGUCCCUAAGAACGAGAGAAAGUGACCAGGUAGGCAGAAGUAAAGUUACCAUUCAAAGUAAGAAAGAUUUUUUAUUUUUUUAAAGCAUAAUAAACCCAAUAUUUGCAAAUAGAAAGGCUGUCUUUUAAUUUUGCCCUUUCCAUGGUUUCCUCAUUACUGUCUACAACCAAGGCUGAAUCUUGAAGCUCCUGGCAUGAGCAGCAGCCUGGAGGACAAGCCCAUUGCUCAUUACGUCUCAAAGCUCACUUUCUCAACCUUCUCAGAAAGUGAUCAUUUUAAAAGCCAGUUUUGUGGGGAGAGGAAGGGAUUUCUAAAUGGCAAAAACCUACACAAAGAGGAAGAACUGAUGGAUUCUGUCUUUGAGUUUGACCAUGUGUCAAGGACAGGGGGAACUCAGAGUAGAAUGUGAGCAGGGAAGCCUUCCGCUCCCUUUCAGCAAAUGGGGAGAUGCAGAUGCAGAGAUUAGGGGUGAGAAGUAGCGCCUAGAUGGACCUGUCCUCAUCUCUCCUCUCUGAGUUGCUUGUAAGUUGCCGAGUUUUGCAUAUGCACCCAAGGGACGAGGGGACAUUUGUCUAUGAUCUUGACUAGGCAGGUGGGAUAGAAGAAUGUCACAGCAAAGUAGAAACCGACUGGCAGUUGAGGGCUGUGGGGUGGGCCAUUUAGCAGGGACAGCGGAGGUACUAAAUUCCUUUCAUAAUAUGAUAUGUACUGAACCACAGUGUAUUCAGUUGUAAGGAAGGGCCAUAUUUUAUUCAAGAAAUUCUUUAUUCUUAUGCAUUAGGAUAUUUCCAGUUUCUUCACAAAAUUACACUUUAAAUCAAGAACACCAAGGCAAUACUUGAAAACUUAAUUUUCUGUCUUUGUUAUCAGUGAAGUAGCGUUACUUCAUUGGAGAGCAAUGGCUCUGUGGCCCAGACAGAUGGAACACAAAAACGAAACUAAACAACACAAAACAGACCUGCUGAAUCAGAACCACGGUUGAUGGGAACUGCGCUGUUGGUGAGAAGCAACUUGUGAAAUAGGCGCUAUUGUCUUCCUGUUCGAUGACGCUGAGUAUUUAAGUGAAGUGCCAAGCAUACUGUAUAGAUGUGUCUUCAGUAAAAUGAAACCAAUAUAUUUUUGCCCCUAGAGGAAGAGAUACGCUCAAUUUGCCCAAGGUCAUGGAGUAAAACCAAAAUUUAAACCAGCAAACUAGAAAAAUGGUCCAACUGUCACUAUCCUCAAGUGCUUCAACUCUACUAGAAAAUGGAAAGGUGAGAGAAAUUCUGAUUCACAAAAACUAUUUCCUUUAACUGCAGAAAGGAGAAACAGACAAGUCAAAACCUGAAGAGUAUUAAUAUUUUUUUUGAAAUUGUAUGGAUUAGAAGAGAGAGACUUAAUUAAUUAUAUAAAUAUAAAAAAGGACAAGUGUAGCCAGCAGGUUAAUAAUGAAUAUUUCAGAAGCUAGUGCUUACAAAAAUAUGUUCCUUAAUUAUGUUCAUUUACAGACCUUUGAAAGAAAGAGUGUUAAUGGGCUAAAAGAAUUUCAAUACCUAGGAUGAAGAUGAAUCAAAAUGAAUUGCGAAUGAGAAAUUGAGAGCAGAUGACAUAAGUAGGUUAUAAACAUACUGCCUCUUUUUCUCAUAUACUUAUACAAAAUGCUCUUUGUUACUUUAGAUUUUAGAGGUUGAAGUUCAAUGGCAUCUUAGACAAGGAAAGAGAAACUCUAAUGCCUUUUCUUAUUUGUUUUGUAUAUUUAUCUCUAAAACCUAGACUUCCUACCAGAGAACACUUUGUAGCCAACAAUAAGGAAGUCAGAUUUGGGAUAUUAAAAGACAAUAACCUUUUAAUGUUUGAGAAAAGAUGGGCUUGAGAAAUCCAUUCCAGGUUGUAAUCUAUUAAUUGUGAAGUGUAGUUCACUGAAAAUUUGAUUUCUAGUCCAAUAUUUGCUUAAGAGCUAUAGUUAAAUAUUUAAUAUCAAUGACUAUUAGCUAUGGCUCUGAGACUUGGUUGGACACCAUGAUUCGCUUUCAUCUGACCUUUUUGGAGAUUCAAUUUAUUUUAACUCAACUGAGAAUCACAGAGUCAGAGUUAAAUGAAAUUUUAGAAAUCACUGAAUACCACUUUCACUCACCACCACUGGAUGGAUAAGAACUCUGAGUUUCUGAUGGAGUAAGUUGCUGUAGUUCACUCAGCAAAUCAGAGAAAGAACUUGCACAGACAUUAGGAAUUCCACAUCACAGGCCUUUCAUUGCCUGAGAUAAGCCAGUCCAAACUAUUUGCAAAUGUUAGUAAAAAAAUCUGGAUUCUGCUCAAGACACCACUUUCCUGAUUCAAUGGGGUCAAGAUGAAACCAGGACAUUCAUGUUCUAAGCUGCAUGGGAUGUUCUGUAUCUACUUUUUUGAAACAAGCUUCAGUUCUGAAUGGCUAAUGGAUUAGAUGCUCUUCAUUUUGCUUUUCCAUCUUCAUUAAUACUUCGUAGAAGAAAAAAGCAUUACAUUCUAUAAAUAGAAAUAGAAUUGCAGAUUAGAGAUUAGUGGUUUGAAAAUACUUCUACAGCCAUUUAGCAAUGAAGAAGAAAGACUACAAGUUAUUUUCAGUAAGAUUUUCUCUAAGAAAUAGUCCUCGGAGUCCUGGAAAGGUAGACUUCGACAAAUAUCCAUGGCUGGGCAGCCUCAGAUUUCAAUGAAAUAUUUUCCUGAUGGUCUUUGGAGGUGACUCCACUUAUUUCUCCCAUGUAAAAGAAUUUACUCGGUAGAUCUCAUGGAGGUGGAAUGGCCAAGUCAAUUUUUUAAGUACAAGGAAAUAUUAUAAGCAUGUAGCAAACUUUGUUGGUUACAAGACUCCACAUUGAGCUCUUGCUUCUAACUUCCUUUCUAAGAGACCACCAGUUUAAUUGGGGGGGGGGUCGUCUAACGUCUUUCUUCUGCAUCCACGUACUACAUUAGGCUAGUCAAGGGAAUCCCACCUCCCUUGCACAUGCUAACGGUCAGAACAGGCACGUGACACACACAGAAGGAGUUGUGAGGGUGUUCCUGUUGAAUGAUUUCUGAGAAUUUCUUCUUAUAAAAGAGACUGUCAGCAGGAGCUGAUGAAUUAGCUUCCCCUGGACACUGCCACAUGUGUGUGUCCUGCCCAGAUUGCUGUAGCCUCCCCACAACCACGAGGGCAGCCAGCCGGAGAAUGAAGCCGGCAGGCAGGGAGGACAGAGUCAUGGCAGACAGAGUGCUGGUUCUUGGCAUUCUGGAGCCUCAGAUAUCACCAACCCUUUCACCGCCAUGCCUGAGACUUCCUGUUAUACAAAAUAACCACAUUUCCUCCUACUUUUAAGACAGCUAAUUGAGGGUUUUCUGUUGCUUCCUACAGCAAACAUCUUAAUGGAUAUACAAAUAAUACAGAAGUAACCUUUCCCCUGACAUUUUAAAAAAUGUGGUGACCCCUGUCAAGGACUUUUACUUCAGCGGUAUACUUCCAUCCCCAGAGAUGCUGCUAAGAAUACAGAGUUGGCUAGAUUACUAUCCCCAGUGAUGGAAUAUUCAAAAUUUAAUCAGUUUUCAGUUCAAGGAAAUAACCGCUAAUAAAAAAAAUGCUUUUGGAUCAUUUCAUGAGGCAGAGUACUUUAUUCCAUAUGGCAUCCUGCACGUCCAUAUGGCUUCAGGAAUUAGAGAGGUAUAUUUGUCAAAAUAUUCAAUCAAUUGCAGCCCUUAAAGUUGAUAAUGUUAUGUGUUUGGAGCAUACACCAUCUCUUGAAUAUGGGGGAAAGUCAAAGGAGCAAAUGCCAGCCAAAGAAAAAUCACAGUGAGUUUAUAUUCAGGAGAGAAGGAAAAGAAAGAAAAGAGACCUGCACUGCUGUAAUUUAAUCCAAAUCAUGUGAAUGAUAUUGACUCGGCGCUGCAAUAACCUAGUCAUGGGUAAAAGCAAUGUGUAAUAAGAUUUAUUCAAAUAAGAAUAGGGCAGGAAAAUUCUGAUUAUUUUACAUUUCAAUAGGCAUAAUUUCAAAACAUCAACCACAUAUAAAGCAGUUACCUUAAAGAAAAAGACAUGUAUUAAACAAAUUUAAACACCUUCAACAUUUUGUAAGUUUUUUUAUUUUUUAUUUUAUUUUAUUUUUUCCUGCACCAUUGCCCAAUCAGACUUCAGAGAUUGUUCUUAACCCCUUCUGGCUUUGGCUGCCUAUAAACUGCUUUAGCUGUGACUGAUCUAAAAUUUCUGCAAACUUGUCUUUCUAGAUAAGGAAAUUAAGUAGAAUAGCUGCCCACAGGGAAUACAUCAUGUCACUGGCACCUUCCAUUCUUAUGUCAUGUAUUCUAGGUCUAAGUGCAUGGGGAAGAAGGCUGGCUCAGGAGGGCAGGCUGAGCUGCUUGGGCAACAGGUUUUUUUGUUUGUUUGUUUGUUUUGUUUUCAAGGUAAUAAAAAAAUAAGCAUGAGCUGUAUUUCAGUGAAAUUAUCCCAAAUGAGAGAAAGCAGAAGAUGUUAGAUUUGAUGCUGUGCAGAAAAGAGAGGCAACUGACAGACUAACAAGGUUGGUUCCCCUAGAAAAAAAAAAAAAAUAGAAUCAAACCCAUCAAACAAGAAAUGGACAGGAGAAGUCUGUAAGGGCCACAGGCACGAAGAGACCAAUUUUCUGAAAUACAUUUCAUGUUAAAUUAACUACUCUCAGAUUAGGAUGCUGAAUAUAUCCAAUAUACACAAGUUAGGUGAGUAAAAUUCAAUGAGGAUGUUUCUGAAUGUUUAUACAGGGGAAUUUACAAAUGAACAAAUUCAAAAUCGAUUUCAUACCAUCAAAGGAUUAUCCUCUGGAUGUGGAAGUGACACUGGAGUGGCAUAAAGGUUAGCCAAUUCCCUUCAUUUCUGCCAAUAAGCACUACUUCUCAGUCAUCAGAACCCCAGGGGUGCCUGUCUCUGGGCUUCAGCUUACAUGGAAAUUGUCAAGUCAGUGCUUUUUGAACAACACAAUGAAACUGACAAAAUUUGAAAUUUUGCAGGCAUGAAACCAUUAAAAAACAAAGGACAAACCAUGACAUAAUAUUGAGUCUAAUGAACCUGUCCUACAACGUCAGGAUUGAUAAUACUCUCUCUUCCCCAAUUUUUAUGUAAAUUACUUGAUGUAAACAUAUCACAUCCCAAGAUGAAUUCUGGUUUGUCACAAACUCAUACAAUGUUUGUGAGUGUCUUGAGUGCCCUGAGGGCAAGGGAAUGCCUCCCUGCACUUAGCAAGUGCUUAGUAUCCAUCUGAUUCCCAGGCAAGUGUGCUCCACACUUGUCUGAAGGCACCACAGGGAUUCAGCCUCACCUUGAGUCGGCCGAGUCCUUCCCACUCUGUGCAGGCUUUCUUGAAACUCUCAGAUCACACUAAUUUCUUCCUUCUAGGAACAUAUAGCACAGUAUUAUUAUUAUUAUUAUUAUUCACGGUACUGAUUCAUUUUUUAUCUUAUUUUUCAAUUUUUUUUAAUACUUUAAGUUCUAGGGUACAUAUGCACAACGUGCAGGUUUGUUACAUAUGUAUCCAUCUGCCAUAUUGGUGAUAGCACGGUAUUAUUUAGUGUUCAAUUACAUUCUUCAAGUUCCCCCCUUUCUUGUCUCUCCAAAUAUUUUCGGGUCUCUCAAAGAAGAAAAUGUGCCUUGUUUUUCUCUCAGAUGCCUGUCUUUAGCACUUAGCAUGGUGCUGAGGGUAUGUGAAUUUGAUUGGUUUGUGAGUGGAGAAAAAGGAGAUUUCUAAAGCACUAGAAAAGAUCUGCCUCUCCAUGUAUACUAACUCCUUGUUUGGUGUGAGCAUGUCUGAGGAAAAAGCAUAAUCACAUCAAAUGGAGCCACAAGUUCAUCACUUUAGUUUCCCUGGAAGGCAGCUCUAGUAGAGGAGAUCUGGCAAGAAUUUUGAAUUCAGAAAAAUCUGGAUUUGAAACUUGACUCUAAUCUUUACUAGCUUGUAACAUUGGUAAAAGAGUCUUUCUGUGUUUCCGUAUUUACUAGUAAAAGCAUGAAUAAUACAACCUUCUUGAAUGUUUUUGGAAAUAUUAAAUGAGAUAAGGCAUUGGAUAUGUCCUAGCAUGUAAGAAUGAAUGAUGUUUACAUUGAUUCUCUUUCUGUGCUAGUAACCAGUGACCAUUUUUACCCUGAACUUUCUAUUUCUUCCUGAAACUAAUUUCUUUUUCUCUUGAUGUUAUCUUUUGGAAAAUAUCAACGAAAGGAGAUCCUAUGAGUAAAGUCUAAGGAUUCGAAUGCUGAGAGGGACCUGGAGUGCUGUGGGUGACUAUCCCAUGACUCCCUAUUUAUCGUAUGAAUGGCCAGACUGUUAGUAUUCCCAUUCAUACCUACCCACCCACUCCCAAUUUCAAUACAAAUUUAUAUCUCUAUAAAUGACUAAAAUACUAUUGUGUUGGUUUUUCUUUCUUUUUUUCUUGCUGCCACAACAAAUUACCACUUACUUAAAGAAAAUAAGAUGAAAGUGAUAUGUUUUAAAGUAUAAAAUAAAAAAAAAACAAAACAAAUUUAUUAUCUUACCAUUCUGUGGGUGAGACGUUCACGUGACUUUGGCCAAAAUUUAGGGGGUGGUAGGUUGUGUUCUUUUCUGGAGGAUCUAGGGAUUUACUUCCUAGGGUUUCCAGCCUCUAGAAUUCUGGACUUGAAUGGGAGUGGCGGUGUUUUUCUUCUAGUAAUACGCAUAGGUGUAGGCUGGUGCAAUUGAUAGCCACUACAUGCAAGAGAGCAGAAUCAAGGGAAAUGAAGAGAAGCUAGUCCUGUUGACUUCAAUUGACACUGAAAUAUCAGUCAUCUCUGAAGCUGAAUAUCCAUGAACUUGUCAGACUUACAAGUUGACUGACUACAUGAUUAGCUGUUCAAACUCACUCAUGAAGAUGGAAAGAGUCACUAUUUUAAAAUAUGCGAGAGUGACAGACAUUAACCACGGACCAUCCCAGCCAGACUAGCAGUUGCCUGCUGCAUAGGAGACCACUGAUAGUGUGUUUUUUCAUGAAGAAUCAACUCAGUCUCUCAAUUUGCCACAACUCUGAACCUGUAAGUAUUGUAUUUUUCUGAGAAUAAUUAGUAAAGUAGCCUCAGUCAAUGACAGCACUUGAAAGAAGUUGGAAAAGGCAUUUAUUCCUGUUUAACCCCUUUUUAAAAACACUAACCCCUCCCAUUCUUACAAGGGUCAAUUAAAGAUACUCAAUAUAUUCCAGUCUAGAAGCGAAUUGUCUGGAUUCAACAGUCCAUUAAUGGUAAUUGAACAAAGUUAACUUUUAGUGUCUUUUUGAAGUAGGUAUACAUAACGUGUAUCACAAAAGAGGUGAAUUGUUUAGUGAGAGCAGAUGAAGUUAAGAUAUUUAAAUCAAGUUAUUUUAGAGAACUCUUAAGCUAAUUAUGCUCAGAAAAGUAGCUGCUUCUUGGCUUAUAAAAGAUAGCACCUCUUUCAAACAGGUGUAGCUGGGGUAGGAUGGUACACUUAGCAAGCCCCCUCAGUACUCUGUGUGGCCACUUAAGAGAGAUUUUAGAGAUUUCCUAGAUUGUCUCCAAAACGUUACUCCAUUUUUGAGGGAUUGCCUGAAAUAUCAUUGAUGGCACUUAAGCUUAAAGAUUAAUCCCUUGUUAAAAUACAGAUAUCCAUGGGAAGGAUGACAUUUUAAGCUGCUCCUGUCAUUUUUAUUUCAUUGAAGGCAAUGGCUAAAAUCAGGUUUUGAGUGAGGCAAUGAAAUCGGAGAUAACAAAGCCUUUGGAUACUCAAGAGAGAAAAGCCCUUCUAAGGACACAGGCUUCCUAUAUCAGGCCUGUGGUGGGGUUGGCGUGAGUUCUGUCCUGGGGCUGAGUCCUGGAACACACAAUCUAGAUUCGUUUUUUCCCAUUUCUUGGCACAACUAUCUGAUUAGAUGAGGUUGAAAGUCCUUGCAAAAACUAAGUCAGUUCUCAUUAUUUUUUAAUUUUAAAAUGGUGUUUGGCCUUACCUUAAUUAGUCCUUGUAUUCAACAAGGACAGGAAGUGACCCAAGGAGAUAUUUAUCUCCUCAGCCUUCUUCAUCUUGCCUAGGGUAACUUUCAAGUAACAGCUACUAAUACCGUACCACCUAUUCCUUUUUAAAAAUUGCAACCCUGGGAGUUCUAUUCCUAAAGAUUCACAAUGUUUUAGGGGAAGAUCCUGCUCCUGGCUCUAAUGCUGGAGUUUGUAAUACUGCCAUUUUUACUGAAUUGAAUGAAAUGGCUAAAAUCAGUUUCUAAGCGAGAACUGAUAUCGCUCAUCUUUGAUAAAACCCCAACACAAUGGCUUGUUGUAUUGUGAAAUGGUUAGGAAUUGAGUGAUUAUACUUUUGAUCUAUGAACACUCUUGAACGUGUUGAUUUUUACUUUGGUAAAACUGUGUUCUCUUUUUCAGGCCACAAGCUUUUCUUUCAAAAAUGUAUACCCAGCCACCCCCAAAUAAAUUCACCAUUUCUAUACUAAUAUUUCAUAUAAGGAACCUUGCCUUUUUAUUUCAAAGGCAGUAUUCUUCUAUUUCUCCAAAGGUGAGUCAAAGAUUAGAAAUAAACAUGUAAUAACAGAAAACUCUUGGUUUGGGUAGACUCAGACGUCUGUGAGAAUAAUAGCACGAAAUACUCUGGAAAACAUUUAUAAUUCACCCUGUGUUAUGCUGUGGUAUACAUCUAAAAAAAAUACAUACAGAUUGAAUCCUCGAAGUCAGAGAAGCUAAAAGACUCAGGCUUUACUUGCAAGAAAUUUACAGUUAAUGUGUGAAUGACUGAAGUAAAUGAUAGAAAUGAUAUUUCAUAAACGAGGUUCCAAUAAAUAGUGACGUGGGAGUUUAGAAAAGAAAGCAAAUAUAUUUUUUCUGGCUAAGAGAUUUACAGAAGCAGUGAGUAGAAGGCUUUGUUGGGCUUCAAAGUUCACAUAUUUAAAAUGUCCAGACAUGGAGGAAGAGAACUUCAGGUGGAACAGAAACGUGGCAGUGGACAAGGGUGAGUGAAGAUAGAUGAGAUGUGUUGUCCAUUUUUCAUGAGAAUGAAAGCUCAUUCAUUAUGAAUGAGAUGUGUUGACCUAACAUUUGGAAGGACAGUAAUAAUUGCCCAGUCCAUUAGUGUGCCCUUGGUGGUGUAGGCAAUGGGGACAGGUCCUGGAUAUAUUAAACAGGACAGAAUCAUUACAAUUGUGCAUUAGGAAAUUUAAUUCUACAAAGAUAUAUGGUAAAUUAGAAAGGGGAAGAGUCUAAUAUUGGCAGUCCAGUUAGAAGGGCCUUUGAACAGCCCAUUGAAUAUCUGGAACGUUGAAUGCUAAUAUUAGGAAUAUUUCCAAGACAGAGGAAAUGAUAAGCAGACAAUGAUUUUAUAUGUGUGUGGAAACCAGUUGAAGGUAGAGUUACAAAUAAGACUAGGACUAGUAAGUGAGAGAAUGGAGUGUAGACAACUGAAGAUGGAACCUUGAUUCAUUUAUAUGAAUCAGUAGAUGGAGAGAAAUGAGUUAAGGGAUGUUCACCUUCCAGAUGACAUAGUACAAAAGUAUGCACCAGUUACAAUAGUGCAUGAACCCUUAGUACUUAGUAUCCUUUCCAUUCAUAGCUGCAAAAAAAUCAUGCCAUGCCUUGGUAUUCUCACUCAAUAUAGUGUCAAUAAUCAGAGAGGUGAUCACAUGAGCAACAUGAGCAAAUUCCAUCUAUUGGGUCCUGGAAACAGAGAAACAACGAAUCUUAACACAAAUCUAUCAGUAUAAUCUGAGUGUUAACUAAAGGUAAUCGAGCAAGAGUAAAUAUGGUGGUCUGUAAACAUGCGUAUCUGCCACAUACAAUGUCAGGAAAACAUUGUCACCUGGUAUUAAAAACACUAAAUAUCCCCAUAACAUUAAUUCAGCUACUGUGCAUGUAGAUUUUACCAUGGACUCAACAAAUUACAUGGUAAGAGCUUGUAAAAGAUAUCUGGGAACUUCAGAACAGAACUCAGAGCAAUGUGAAAUACUAUCCAAUCCAACAUGGUAUAUUUCAAAUGUGUGCAUUUAGGGGACUCAAACGAUAAUUCUUUUUGGACUUUCCCAGUUCCCUGUUCCUCCCACUAUCACAAUCUAUUUUUCUCAACUUUCUUUGCAAUGUAUCUGGGUUCCUGUAUCAAAACCUUAACUCUAAGUGAUCACAUUAUAAUUGUGAAACUUAGGUUUAGUUUGAAGCUUAAUUGCCAGUGCAACACUAACCGUACAAUGUAGUUUUAUAACACAGACUUUUCAGAAAUGAUAUAACUAUAGUGAGGAUAGAAAAUACCUACCUCAGUGACUGAAAAUCACAGUGGGAGUAAAAGUAGGUAGAGCUAGACAUGUAAAUGUCCCUAGCUAAAAAUUUCAGGUUCUAUUUCUAGAUUGCUUUUGUCUUUACGAUAAUUCUUUCUAACAAGACUAGGAAUCAUUUUAUUCAAUGUGGAUGCAGAGAAUGACAAGGGAUAGACCUCUUGAGAUGACAGCCUGACAGCCUUUAAAUCAAGGAGGAUCUCUUUUUUAGCAAGCAUGAAGAUUAAACAGACUAAUGAAUCAGAGCUUUAGACCAUCUAGUCCUGGGAGAUCACAUCAGAGUCCCAUCAGCCACGGUCAGGUCAAGGAACAUUCUUUCCUGUCAACUGGCAAGUCUCCUAUUGUUGUGUUGACAGUCUUGCUCUUCUCUGGGAAAUUAUUCUACUUACUGGAGACAGAUGCCGCAGCACAUAAUUUUAUAGUUCUAAGGAUCUAAAAGGUAAGCUUUCCUUAACCAGUGUAGUUGGGGGAAAAAUGUGGUUGUAUGUAUUUUAUAUUCUGGAAUUAGUUUCUUUCCACCAUAUGUCAAUUUUAUUUUUGAUAGAGAAAUUUUUAUUCUACUUGUCUAAAUGUUCUCAUAAAAAGGAAAUAUCCAAUGUGCUAGGUGCCUUCAGAGUUUCCUAGAAAUUCCUUGAUCUGUCACCAUUCAGUGGACAUGAAUGUAAAUUUUAAGAGACUUAAAGUUUUCAAGAGGGCUUGGAGUCAAAUUCCUUCUCACCUCCCAGUUAUAUCUCUGGAUUAAUCAAAAUUCAUGACGCAGUUCUUUUGAAGUUGUUAAUUUUAUUUGAAACAGUUAUAUAUGCUCAGUACAUAGGGAAGCAUAAAUGCAGACUUUUUUUUUCUUUCCUCCUUCCAGCUAGUAUUAUUCUGGAAAACAAAAUUAUGUAAAAAUAGCACUGAAGUUGCAAAGCAGAUAUUAGAUUUUUGUUCUAAAAUGAAUCUCGAUGAUGCUUAUCUUAAUGAAUAGGAGAUAGGAAUUUCUUUUAAUUAAACAAUUCAUUGUUUCAAUUAAACAAACUUCAUUUUGUUUCAUUGCCAUCCUUUAAGUAUGGGCAACUUUUGUCUUCCACAUUCUGCUAUUUCCUGUUGCUUCUCUGCUGACAUUUCGCCAGCAAACAGAAUAGCAGGCUAUGAGUGUGCAUCACCUAGUUUUAAUACAAUAUUAGUAUCUGAUCUUUAACUCAUUAAAUGACAAGACUUGCCAUCUUUGACUUGCUGCUAUUUAACAUUGCAGACCUGUCUCUAAUAGCUGUAACACAUAUUACUCACUGAAACAUUCGUGAGCAGUAAGCAUGACAGAAUAAGAAUUAGUUUAGCAGGAAAAAGCAAAAUGAUUUCAUUUCCAGUGCAGAGAUAUAUUUCUGCACUUGCUGUGAUCAUAUUUCUACAUCACAACUAUUGAUUCAGGGGUUGCUGUAAACUAAUCUAUAAUAAUUCUAUUCGUUGUUACUCUACAUUAACAUGUAAAUAUACGUAUUAAUUUAAAAAUACAGAUACAGACUCUAAGAUUUCAACAAAAAUUAUUAAACAUUUUUAAAAUUUGCUUUUCCCUUUUUUGAAUCCACAGAUGCUUUUAAUGAAUUGGUGCUUGGGUACUGAGCCAGUUUUAACUCACUAGAGGCCUGUGUCAUUUAUUUUCUUGUUUAACCAUGAAAAGAACAUCAAAAGAGUGGCUCAAAACCAACCAACCAACCAACCAACCAACUCACCCCUUUUCAGGUCUCCAUAGAGAUUUAUGUCCACUCAAUGAGCUUAUUAUGUGGUAAGGGUUGUUAGAGAUUCCAAAGAAGCAGAAGUCACGGCCUCUCCCCUCGAGUAUUUGUCAUGUUGCAGGGAGAUGUGAAAUACACACAUGAAAUAACUACGGAACACACGCAAGUCAGCAUAUUAAUAGUGGAUGAUAUUACAGAGCGGAUGAUAUACAUACAUUGUGAAGAAAUAUAAAGUAAGGGAAAUUUUGCCUUGUCCUGUGGUCAGAGAAGAAAGGAAGCUAUUAAUGUAAUCUCUGAAGGAAAUAUACAUUUAGGCUUGGCGAAGUGAAGUGAGGAUGGUGAUCAACAGUUAGAGGUCUAGUGUGAGUUCUUGCAGAAAGGCCCAGCGGAAGAAGGAAGGCAGGCCCAGGAGUGAGCUCUCUUCAUCUUCACCUGGAACCUCUUUGACGCUAGAUGGGCUGACGGGGUUUAUGUGCCUCUUCCCUCUCACUUGGGUUGCUGCUUGUUUUUCUGGAAAUUAUGUGUUCUUGGGGAUUCUUUCUGCGGCUCUCAUUCACUCCAUAGUGUGACAAGAAUGUGCCUGGUGGAAAGCAAUACAGAUUGUAGGGCCAUCCAGCGACUCUGCCAUGCCCGUACUUUCUGUUCCCCUGGACACCUAAGGCAUACUGGAUGGCAUCCGACUGCCCUGCCAUUGAGAUGAGUCAGCUCUGCUCUGAACACUCCCUCAUUUAGAUGACAUCAUGCCGAGUGGCAUACAUGGUUGUGGCUGUGCAAGAAAAUCAUACAUGACCUGCGGUUGUGACAAGCAGUGGCGAGAGCACUGGGAAGGAGCCAUGGAGUUCUAGCUCCUUCUACAGUGAGUCAAUCCUUAUCUUGCAGAGACCUCAUUUUCCUCAUAGAACCUAAGGAGGUUGGGCUGCAGUAUCACUAAGGUAACUUUCAGAAAUUAUUUUCUAUUAUUUUAAAUUUGUUCCAAAGUGAGAAACAUUAAUAAGGCAAAGGAUAUCUUCCCAGCACGAUACUUAAUUCAUGAAGAAGUAAAAUAAAGUACAAAUCUUUAGCCAAUGAAUUUGAUGUAGUCUCUUCCCUAUGUCUACCACCAUUUGAGCAGGGAAACCUAUAAAAUCCAGGCCAGUAUCAGUGCCAUCAUCCUUAGCCAGGGGUUUGCAGUAGUUUCUCAUGGAUAUGGCUGGCUUUUCAGAUGGACCUGGUGAGAUAUUGCACUCCCCAGCAAGAGGAGGCAGCUGGGAAUUUGGAUUUGAGGCACAGAGAGAACAAGGGUCUGGAGAUAGAAAUUUGCAGUUCUUACAAAAAUUGGGCUUCUUGUAGAAUCUGACCUUAAAGACGUCCUACUCUGCUUCCUCCAUUAGGGAAAUUGGAGGUUAAAUAAACUGCUGUAUCCACCUAGUGAAUUAGUGGUAAUACUCAGAAACCCAGAUUUUAGUCUCCUGAUCUAGCCCACAGACAGUACUUCCAUUUAAUUAGUCAAAUUGAUUGAAAACUUAAUUACACAUAAUCCCACACAAAAGGGAGUUAUGGUAAUCACACAUGCAAAGCUUCAGGGAUGUAAAGGAGAGGAGGGCCAAGCUGAUGAUAGCCAAACGACUGAGAGAGCAGAAUUCCCAUUGUAGCCACCUUCUCUUCAUGGGGGAAGCACUUAAUAAAGGAAUGUGGGUUUUCUGGUUGUAACAUUUUAUAAGGUAGAAUUAAAAACAUGAGACAAGGUUUCAGGUAAAGUGGAGAGUGUCAUUAAAAAAAUCUUCUAGAGGAAAAUUCCCUUAACUCAGACUGAAUCUGCUAGAGAACUGGUUACGGUAACCUAGCUUGGACAUUCUUAGGUAAGAUACGAAGCUUGCUCAGAUGCCAUUAGGAGAUACCCAGAUAUGCUCAAGCCCCCCUCCCCAGUGUUCUUAUGAUGCAUUCAUACCCUCACUGUGGUGUUUAUCAUAAUGAUUUGGGAGACAGCCUGAAGCAUCUCGUAACUUGGAAAAAUAAUUCUCUUAGGAAAGCCAGUGAGGCCACAAAUCUGAGGAUUCGAAUUUCCCACACCAAAUACAAAAUGAAAUAGAAGAUUAUCAUAUAUAAUAAAACAAAACAUUGGCUUGUGUCUCUUUUCCUUUCACAUGAACACAAGCUCUUACCAACAAGCAACCAAAACCCUGAAGUCUGAAGGAGGAAGCAAAAACAGUCUUUGUCUUCACAAUGCUUUUACCACCUAUUCAUGACUUAAUUUCUAAAAGGUUUCCAAAAAGUGUUUUUACUUUUGGCCAGGCACAGUGGCUCAUGCCUAUAAUCCUAGCACUGUGGGAGGCUAAGACGGGUGGAUCAC